rnacentral:rRNA from 1 species
GAUGAACGCUGGCGGCGUGCCUAAUACAUGCAAGUCGAGCGAACGGACGAGAAGCUUGCUUCUCUGAUGUUAGCGGCGGACGGGUGAGUAACACGUGGAUAACCUACCUAUAAGACUGGGAUAACUUCGGGAAACCGGAGCUAAUACCGGAUAAUAUUUUGAACCGCAUGGUUCAAAAGUGAAAGACGGUCUUGCUGUCACUUAUAGAUGGAUCCGCGCUGCAUUAGCUAGUUGGUAAGGUAACGGCUUACCAAGGCAACGAUGCAUAGCCGACCUGAGAGGGUGAUCGGCCAAACUGGAACGGAGACACGGUCCAGACUCCUACGGGAGGCAGCAGUAGGGAAUCUUCCGCAAUGGGCGAAAGCCUGACGGAGCAACGCCGCGUGAGUGAUGAAGGUCUUCGGAUCGUAAAACUCUGUUAUUAGGGAAGAACAUAUGUGUAAGUAACUGUGCACAUCUUGACGGUACCUAAUCAGAAAGCCACGGCUAACUACGUG